AUGACUCAGCCAAAGUUUAUGGGCGGAUUGGGCUUCCGAGAUUUUGAAUUGUUCAAUCUAGCAUCGUUGGCACGCCAAUCAUGGAGACUAUUGCAAAACCCUGAUUCACUAUGUGGUAGAUUGUUGAAGGUGGGUUACUUUCGAGAUAGGUAUAUCUUGACCGCUGAGUUGGGCAGCCAUCCCUCCCAAAUUUCGCGGGCGGUUCUUGAGGGGAGAGAUGUGCUUGCCGAAGGACUGAUCAAAAGGAUUGGAGAUGUAUCUACCGCGAGGAUCUGUACACAUAAUUGGAUCCCCCGAAGUGUGACAAUGAGGCCGGUAGCUUGCCUGGUGGUUGAUCCACCAACACUGGUAAAGGAUCUGAUUGAUAGCACAAGCGCAAGUUGGAAACAGGAACUCAUAAAUCAAGUGUUUGUAGCGGUCGAUGCUAAUCCCAUACAAUCUAUUCCAUUGUGCCCACGUAAUAAGAGUGACUUUUGA
rnacentral:rRNA from 1 species